rnacentral:tRNA from 1 species
ACAGCGAUGGCUCAGGCGGUGGAGUAUCUGCUCGGUAUGCAGAGGGUGGCCGGUUCAGUUCCGGCCCGCGGCA